rnacentral:rRNA from 1 species
UACAGGGGGUGCAAACGUUGCUCGGAAUCAUUGGGCGUAAAGCGCGUGUAGGCGGCCACUUAAGUCCUGCGUGAAAUCUUGCGGCUCAACCGCAAGCGGUCGUGGGAAACUGGGUGGCUAGAGUGCGGGAGAGGAGAGUGGAAUUCCUGGUGUAGCGGUGGAAUGCGCAGAUAUCAGGAAGAACACCCGUGGCGAAGGCGGCUCUCUGGAACGCAACUGACGCUGAGACGCGAAAGCGUGGGGAGCAAACAGG